ensembl:lincRNA 5031415H12Rik RIKEN cDNA 5031415H12 gene
GCACUGUAUAGAAAUCCCGGGAGGGGAGGAAUCUGAAAGCUAAGUGCCAUUAAAAGAAGGGGGUGGGGUGGGGGGAAGCCCCAGGCACUUGAUGCCUGUAAAGGAUGUAAGUCACAGCCACUCUAUUAGACCUGCAACCAAACUAGACUCAGAUCCGUCGCAGCUGCCCUCCAAAUGUCAGCGUCAGUGUUGGGCAAAGCUUGAAACCCCACCAGGCUUCAGGAGAGCCAUUCUCACCCACAUUUUCCCCCGAGCACUCUUAGGAACCUGGCAACAGGUAACGUGGCAACCUUUGACUUCUAAAAGGCGAGUGGGAUAAUUUCAGGGAACAAACGGAUUGUUUUUGAGCCAGCUGCAUCUCGCCUAACUGCCCCCGCACCCAACCUCCUCCCUCCCAAGACAAAGUCUGGGAAAACAAACUUAAGUGCUGCAGGCUGUCCUGCUCUCUCGCACGCCCUGGUGGCCAACAUCGGAACAACAUGCACGUGUUCGGAACUCCGCGGCAGUUCCCGCUGGCUGCCCUAGAACUCGCUGUGUACUCGAAGCUGACCUCGAGCCCCUCAUCCUCCAGCUUCAACUUGCCAAGGGUUGGGAUCACAGACACGCCAAGGUAGUUGUUCUCCCUUCUGAGAACCUUCGUUAUUUUGUUUUGAUAUUGAGCUUGAACCACCUUGAACUUCUGAUCUUACUCACCUCCUAAGGGGUGGGGUUACAGGCAUGGACCACUAAGCCUUUUUUUUUUUUUUUUUUUUUUUUUUUUGUUAAACGAAGUACUGCGACUAAAACCAUUACUUUUUUUUUGCAUGCUAGUCAAGUACUCCACAAACUUAGCUGCAUCUUCAGCCUGGUUUGAAAGUCUCUUAUUUUAGGUUACACUCACGGUUUGGGUUUUAUCAUGGCAUCUUUCCAAGAACCCUUCUCAUUUCAACAGAACUAGCAUGGAGUCCCUGAGUGUUAGGACGAACCCAAAUGGGGACCACAAACGUCUGCCGGCCUGGGUUUAGUAAACAGAUCUCAGCCGCGAUUCACUCUUCCUGGGGCCAAGGCCAUAGCGCGCUCCGGAAUGGGAGGAGAGUGUCCAGCGCAUGGUAGUCCUCUGUGCUGCUUCAGGAAGUGAGAGGCCUGUUCACAAAUCACAUCUACGGGAGCCCGGGUCUGCUAAGUCCUGACUGCCUCAGGUGAUGCCUCCUUGUCUCAGUGCCUGGCACUGAGAGCGGCCUGAAGGAGGAGGUCGGGAAUCUUGCGCCUUGGAAACCGCGAAUUGUGGAGAAGCCAGAAAGGAAACCGUUCUUUCCUUCCGGUACCAGUGUGGCUGUCACCACCUGCUGGAAGACAUCUGCACUGACCUUCCAAAUGGCUCUCCUCUGUGAAGCAGGGGCUCUACUCUUCUGGUUUGACAGGGUAGUCACCAUAUUCUGUUAUCUUCCCAGUUCCUCCUGAAUUUUUUUAAAGAUUUAUUUAUUUAUUUAUUUAUUGUAUGUGGGUACACUUCAGCUGUGUGUAGCAGACACACCAGAAGAGGGCAUCAGAUCUUAUUACAGAUGGCCUGUGAGCCACUACAUGGUUGCUGGGAAUUGAACUCAGGACCUCUGGAAGAGCAGUCGGUGCUCCUAACUGCUGAGCCAUCUCUCUAGCCCCUCCUGAAUUUAAGUCUGCAAGUGGGCAUUCCGUUGGCAGAUGUGUUGCCUUGUGUGUGGCCUAUGUGACUGGUUCAUUCUCUGUUCCACCCUCAUCUUGGUUUUCUCUGUGGAGAGGAUGUCUUUAUGCCUGAAGUCCCUCUUCUGGUGAACUGGUCAAAGCUGGUUGGAUCUGAUAUGCAGCCGGAGUGACUACUACGUGCUAAAUGACAUGCCUUCCAAAGCCAUGACAUUUGUCAACUGCCAUGGACACAGUAGGGGAGAAGGAAGGCCACCUCAACAGGAGUUGAGUGGUCCAGGAGGCAGUACCCAAGUUUCCUGAGAAACAAACCUUUAGGCACCCCCAGGACAGACAUGGAUGCUUCUCUGUUAGCUUGUUCUUGCUCUCACUCACUCGGCUGUAACCUCCUGACCCCCAAAGAUUGGAAAGUUGAUUUUCAGCACUCAUUUUCUUACUCUUGGACAGGGAUGAAAGACUCUAUCACUCAACUGAUGUCUAGGACAGGCGUGGCUGCCGAGAGCUGUCUCACAGCAGGAUGCAUGUGGAAACAUAACAGUAAACUCAAGACCGCUCCAAACCAGCUGGGACCAGCAUGGCCUGAGAUGACAGCUAACUGCCUGGUAUUAUGACAUCUUCAUAGCCUGGGCCUUGCAAAAUUCCUGUUACCAUCCAUCUGGCUCUAUGUCACACCCCCAACCUCCAUAUAAGGACAGAAAAGUCGUGUAAACCCUAUUCCAGAAAUCCCUGCCCUGCUGACUAUGAUGUAACACAUGAAACAGUCUUCCCCUCUAUCACAGGGUUAGGGUUAGAAGGUACUGGUGCUAAGAAGCAUUGUUCUAACCUUG